rnacentral:SRP_RNA from 1 species
CCGUGCUAGGCGGGGAGGUAGCGGUGCCCUGUACUCGCAAUCCGCUGUAGCGAGGCUGAACUCCUUUCCUAGGUUUUGCAGACGUAAGGUCUGCCUUAAGUAAGUGGUGUUGACAUCUGGGUCCUGCGCAACGGGAACCUACGAAUCCUGUCAGGUCCGGAAGGAAGCAGCAGUAAGUAGGACCUCUCGUGUGCCGCGGGGUUGCCUGGAUCGAGCUAACUGCUUAAGUAACGCUUAUGUUUGCAUUAUCGAAGAAAGGUGCACGG